AAGAUUUAAUAUAAUUAACAGAUACCAAAAGGUAGUUAUUGAACCCAAUUCUCUUUCUUAUAUGUAAUAUAUUUAUAUGUAUAUGGAUAUAUAAUAAAGAUUAUUAUUAAUAUGCAUAUUUGAGGUUGAUGGUGAUGUGUCUUUGGCUUGAUUCUCCCACCCUCUCUUUUGGCUUGAUUUUUUUAAAGUGAGGUUCAGUGUGAUUUGCGUGUCUAUUUUUUUUUUAGGUGUUAAAGUUAGGAAGAAAGUUGUGUUAGAUGGUCCGAUUAGUUGUGGAAAGAGCAUUGCACUUGCAUUACACUGCACUUGCAAUACACUGUGUAAAAUCAGAGGAUCCAGUCAAGUCUUUAUUUUGUAAACCAGAUGAAAAUGUUAGAGUAGCAUACUCAGAUUUGAUUACUUCUUACAAGGAGACUUUAGAUUCUAUUUUGGAACUCCAAGAGGUGUGUUUCUUGACUUGGAACUUACAUAUGAAAGAUAAAAAAGAAUACAAAUUUUUUAUGCUGGUUUCAUGUAUAAAAAGAACCCAUCUAUUACCCAAGCCACAAACGGUAAUUGAUUUCUUUAAUAGUACUUUUUUUCCUUUCUAGUUUCUUAUAAUUGACUCUAACGUUGCUUUUAUGUGUUUGGUAAUGAGUGAAAAAGAAAACGUACAAUUCCAUUUACAUAUUAUUUAGCUAUGUGGGGUGAAAACUGAAAACAAUGCUUCCACUUUGGCUUUCAAUUCAUCAUGCUCAUAAAUUUUCACUUGUGUGUGUCAUCAUGCCUCCUCUAAUUUUCUUUUUUUGCUUCCAACAAUGCUAAAAAAGACAAAAAGAGACUCCAUCAACAAGUGUGUAUUUAUAGUUUCAUGAAUUGAUGAUCAGUGACUUUAUUUAUGUAUACAAAAAUAGAUCCUAUAACUAGAUCUAAUAAUAAUUAUUAAGAAUAAACUAUUUUAUAAGAUUUCAAUUUUAUUUUAAUUAUUAGAAUAUUGAGUGUGACUGAUUUUAUGUAUAAAAAAUGGAUCCCCUAUAUAUACCUAGAUCAAAUAAACUAUUUUAGAAGAUUACAAAUUUUAUUUUAAUUAUUAGAAUAUUGAGAGUAAUAAUAAGUAAUUCAAUUCUAAAAACCAAAUUAAAAAUCUAGCUAGAGGUUAUCCCAUAUUUUUUCUCCAGUUUAAAUACAAGUUACUAAGAAGAACACGAUUUCACUUUGAUAUCAGUAAACCCUCUUGAAAGGUUAUCUUAAAGUCUUCAAAUUUUAAAUGAAAAAUCCAUUUUCUUGCAUUAAUUGUGACCCGCUAGUCAUAACAAGAAGCUUCACUAAUGCCUUAACAAAUAAUUUAACUUAACAACAAAAAAAGGUCCUCAUAUCAGAGCUAUCUAACCAUGUGACCUUAGAAAAGAUGCACUCCAAAGUACUUUCUAACCAUCCGUGGCUUAAUAGAAAAGAAUAUUCUCUAAUUUGUCUU